GUGUAACCUACGUGCCCAGUAGGAUAUACUGCCGGGUUGUGAAAUGUCCACGCCUCUCCCCAACUGUCUUCCUUCCCAGCCCUCCGGGCUUGGCUUUCUUGCUUCCCCAGGAGUUCAAAUCUCCAACCUGCGGAAGAAUUCAGCUGCUUGAAAGGACUUAAGGCAGUGUGCGGAGGACAUCUCCUUUCUCCGCCAGUAAAGAGAGCUGUUCAAAGACCGAGGCUGCUUACGAUGACGUGGAGAGGAUUUCAAACAACCUUAACAGGCUUUGAACUGACAAGAAGCGGUGAUAUCUGCCUCACUCUGGCACAGCUCCUCCAGUGCACUUGCUAGGACAAUGGCUGAGAAAGCACUUGGUGCUGGCCUCUCUGCCGGGGGCGAGGACUGCCCAAACCCCAGAGACCCUAAGGCAGGAGUUGCUGCACUACAAUGGAGAGGUCUUGUCUUAGGCUGCACCUCAGGUUCUCUCAGAUCUUCUGGAAGGGCGUUAUUCAGCGGUACUGUGGUUGCGCUGGUAUGAAGUGGUGUGGGCUUCCUGAGAUUAGAAUGCACUAGGUAGAGGGAAAACAACCAGACACAACAAUGCUAAAAACCACACACACACACACACACACACACACACACACACACACACACACACACACUGAGAAACUGCUGUGCGGGGCUUUGAAAAGCGGCAGCCUCUUGAUUCAAGAAUCCCCAAAUUAUCCCCUUAGUAGAGCAGUCCAAGCUCUGGAACUUAAACUCUGCUUGUUAACUAGCAAACACUUUCACUUCAUAAAUACAUAAAAUGUUGUUUAUGUAUUUCUUUAUGCUAGAAAUUGACCGAAGGUGUACCUAACCAUUUUUGUACACUGAACUGAAGACACUGAAACAGGAGAGAUGACAUUCAUUUGAUAGAUUUACAUUUUGCUUCGUUAUGCAAUCUCAGUAAAGUAGAAAUCAGGUAACAACAGAAAACAAAAGGGAUUUUCUUAGAUGGUCAUUGGAAGAGUAAAAGUGACAACUGGCUUAAAAUUAUGUAAAGGCGAUCAUUGCUUUAAAAAAAAG
rnacentral:lncRNA from 1 species